UACAGAGGGUGCGAGCGUUGUCCGGAAUCACUGGGCGUAAAGGGCGCGUAGGCGGCGCGACAAGUCAAUGGUGAAAGCCCGAGGCUCAACUUCGGGUCGCCACUGAUACUGUUGGGCUUGAGCACUGUAGAGGCAGGUGGAAUUCCCGGUGUAGCGGUGGAAUGCGUAGAGAUCGGGAAGAACAUCAGUGGCGAAGGCGGCCUCGCUGGGCUGUUGCUGACGCUGAGGCGCGACAGCGUGGGGAGCAAACAGG
rnacentral:rRNA from 1 species